AACCUGCCUUGUAGCGGGGGAUAACUAUUGGAAACGAUAGCUAAUACCGCAUAACAAUGGAUGACACAUGUCAUUUAUUUGAAAGGAGCAAUUGCUCCACUACAAGAUGGACCUGCGUUGUAUUAGCUAGUAGGUGAGGUAAUGGCUCACCUAGGCGACGAUACAUAGCCGACCUGAGAGGGUGAUCGGCCACACUGGGACUGAGACACGGCCCAG
rnacentral:rRNA from 1 species